AAAACUUUCAACAACGGAUCUCUUGGUUCUGGCAUCGAUGAAGAACGCAGCGAAAUGCGAUAAGUAAUGUGAAUUGCAGAAUUUAGUGAAUCAUCGAAUCUUUGAACGCACAUUGCGCCCCUCGGUAUUCCGGGGGGCAUGCCUGUUCGAGCGUCAUU
rnacentral:rRNA from 4 species